UACGGGGGGGGCAAGCGUUGUUCGGAAUUACUGGGCGUAAAGGGCUCGUAGGUGGCCAACUAAGUCAGACGUGAAAUCCCUCGGCUUAACCGGGGAACUGCGUCUGAUACUGGAUGGCUUGAGAUUGGGAGAGGGACGCGGAAUUCCAGGUGUAGCGGUGAAAUGCGUAGAUAUCAGGAGGAACACCAAUGGCGAAGGCAGCGCUCUGGGACGUGACUGACGCUGAGACGCGAAAGCGUGGGGAGCAAACAGG
rnacentral:rRNA from 1 species